UGAGGAAUAUUGGUCAAUGGGCGAGAGCCUGAACCAGCCAAGUCGCGUGAAGGAUGACUGUCUUAUGGAUUGUAGACUUCUUUUAUACGGGAAUAACAAGAGUCACGUGUGGCUCCCUGCAUGUACCGUAUGAAUAAGCAUCGGCUAACUCCGUGCCAGCAGCCGCGGUAAUACGGAGGAUGCGAGCGUUAUCCGGAUUUAUUGGGUUUAAAGGGUGCGUAGGCGGCCUGUUAAGUCAGCGGUGAAAUCUAGGAGCUUAACUCCUAAAUUGCCAUUGAUACUGGCGGGCUUGAGUGUAGAUGAGGUAGGCGGAAUGCGUGGUGUAGCGGUGGAAUGCAUAGAUAUCACGCAGAACUCCGAUUGCGAAGGCAGCUUACUAAGGUACAACUGACGCUGAAGCACGAAAGCGUGGGUAUCAAACAGGAUUAGAUACCCUGGUAGUCCACGCAGUAAACGAUGAUAACUGGGCGUAUGCGAUAUACAGUAUGCUCCUAAGCGAAAGCGUUAAGUUAUCCACCUGGGGAGUACGCCGGCNCGGU
rnacentral:rRNA from 1 species